rnacentral:rRNA from 1 species
UAGGGUAACGGCCUACCAAGGCUGUGAUGCGUAGCCGAGUUGAGAGACUGAUCGGCCACAAUGGAACUGAGACACGGUCCAUACUCCUACGGGAGGCAGCAGUAGGGAAUCUUCCACAAUGGGCGCAAGCCUGAUGGAGCAACACCGCGUGAGUGAAGAAGGGUUUCGGCUCGUAAAGCUCUGUUGUUAGAGAAGAACGUGCGUGAGAGUAACUGUUCACGCAGUGACGGUAUCUAACCAGAAAGUCACGGCUAACUAC